rnacentral:lncRNA from 1 species
CACCAAAUUCAAAAAUAUUUGCUAAAGGUUUUCACCGCUGCCAUUUAUUUCCAUGUAAGCGCACCAGCCGUGGCUACACAACAAAAUGCCGUUGUUUUGGCACCAGAACAGCUUUGCAGCCCAGGCCCGGAGGACAUCUGGAGUCUUCUGGGUCACGGUCCUCGUAACAGACAGAAAAGGAGGGGUUUGUGGGAUGAGGCGCAGGCAUGAAAGACACUGGUGGGAGACAAAAACGACAACUGGAUUACAGCUGCCUGCUGGGCAAAUUGCUGGCUGAAAGGACGUCGCUGCAUAUACAGAUGCCUCAGCAUCUACAGUCGCUGUAUGCUACAAAAGGG